rnacentral:rRNA from 1 species
UACGUAGGGUGCGAGCGUUAAUCGGAAUUAUUGGGCGUAAAGGGCGCGUAGGCGGCUUUUCAAGUGACGGGUGAAAUCCCUCGGCUUAACCGAGGAACUGCCUGUCAGACUGGAAGGCUUGAGACCGGGAGAGGUGAGUGGAAUUCCCAGUGUAGCGGUGAAAUGCGUAGAUAUUGGGAGGAACACCAGUGGCGAAGGCGGCUCACUGGACCGGAACUGACGCUGAGGCGCGAAAGCGUGGGGAGCAAACAGG